UCAUCAUAAAUCUCAAACAGAAGCUGAAAUGAAUAUAUUAGCAGCUAGAUCAUCAUCAACAAAAAAUACUGUAUCCAGUGAUUCUUUGCUGGAAUGUAUCAAACAUAAUUAUAACAGUCUAUCAAAACAAUUAGCAAAUUUAAAAGGCCAUAUCUGCUGACGUUCCCAAAUCCUAUCUGAAAUAAAAAAAAUAACAGUACUCAGCUGUUAGAUUUCAGUUUAUUAACAGAUCCUGAAGGAAAUCCAGUGGUCCAAAAAUUAGAAUUUCCGCUAUCAACAAUGGAAGAUAUUAUUUUGAUAAAUUCAAUGAAAAAUUAAAAGGCCAAAAAUAUAAAAAUAAAAUGAAUAAACGUAUAUACUUUUCUCUCGAUGGAAAAAAUACUUUUACCCGUAAUAUGGGAAAUAUUACUCGUGUUUAUAUAUCAAGAGAUGUCAUAUGUAGCAGUUAGAGCAACUUCAAAAAAAGUUUUCAAAGAUACGACUUUUUCACUUCUAUAAAAAGUAUGUUAAUCAUUAUAUAGUGCAGGAGGAUUACUAUCAUUGAUACCUAAUUAAUUAUUUCUUAAUUAUAUGUUAUUAUUUUAUACCUAA